GACGUAGGGCGCGAGCGUUGUCCGGAUUUAUUGGGCGUAAAGAGCUCGUAGGCGGCUUGUCGCGUCGAAUGUGAAAUCUCAGAGCUCAACUCUGACAUUGCAUUCGAUACGGGCAGACUGGAGGUAUGCAGGGGAGAACGGAAUUCCCGGUGUAGCGGUGAAAUGCGUAGAUAUCUGGAGGAACACCGGUGGCGAAGGCGGCAUUCUGGACCGACAUUGACGCUGAGGCGCGAAAGCCAGGGGAGCAAACGGG
rnacentral:rRNA from 1 species